ACACCUCAACUCUCAUGGCUUGCCAUGAUGAGCUUGGACUUUGGGGGUCUUGUUGGCAUGUGAGCCAGCUCCUCUUAAAUGAAUUAGCUUGCCGGUGUUUGGUGGCGUCACGGGUGUGAUAACUAUCUACACUUGUGGUUUCCCACCAGGUAACCUUCAGCAAUGGAGGUUCGCCGGAGCUUAUAAAUGUCUCUCCUCAGUGAGGACGCAUUCUGACC
rnacentral:misc_RNA from 1 species